GCCAAUGUGGUGUAGUGGUUAGAGCAUUGGAUACAACUCUGGAGACUAGGGUUCAAAUCCCUGCUCAGCCA